rnacentral:tRNA from 2 species
GGGCCUCUAGCUCAAUGGGCAGAGCAGCGGACUUUUAAUCCGUAGGUUGUGGGUUCGAGUCCCACGGGGCCCA